rnacentral:tRNA from 1 species
GGGGUUAUAGCUCAGCUGGUCAGAGCGCUACGUUGACAUCGUAGAGGCCACAGGUUCGAAUCCUGUUAACCCCACCA